GUUAAAACAUCGGUUCCCGUACACUCAUCGAAGUUAAGCAACGUCGAGCCCAGUCAGUACCUAGAGGGGUGAUCGCUUGGGAAAACCAGGUGUUGUAA